rnacentral:rRNA from 1 species
UUUCUGUAGGUGAACCUGCGGAAGGAUCAUUAUUG